AACGAACGCUGGCGGCAGGCUUAACACAUGCAAGUCGAACGCAUCCUUCGGGGUGAGUGGCAGACGGGUGAGUAACGCGUGGGAACGUGCCCUUCAGUUCGGGAUAACCCAGGGAAACUUGGGCUAAUACCGGAUACGUGCGAGAGCAGAAAGAUUUAUCGCUGAAGGAUCGGCCCGCGUCUGAUUAGCUAGUUGGUGGGUUAAUGGCCCACCAAGGCGACGAUCAGUAGUGGGUCUGAGAGGAUGAUCAGCCACAUUGGGACUGAGACACGGCGCAAACUCCUACGGGAGGCAGCAGUGGGGAAUAUUGGACAUUGGGCGCAAGCCUGAUCCAGCCAUGCCGCGUGAGUGAUGAAGGCCUGAGGGUUGUAAAGCUCUUUCAGUGGGGACGAUAAUGACGGUACCCGCAGAAGAAGCCCCGGCUAACUUCGUGCCAGCAGCCGCCGUAA
rnacentral:rRNA from 1 species